rnacentral:rRNA from 1 species
AGUACGUGAAACUGCUUAGAGGUUAAACCCGAUGAACCUGAAUAUCCAUUAUGGAAAAUUCAAUACUAAUAAUACAAUAUAAAUCAUAUUGUAAAAAUAGUGUGCAAUUUUUCCAUAUAAGGACAUUGUAAUCUGUUAAUGUUUUAAAUAUUUAUCAAAAGAUUUUUUACUUAAGUUUAUUCAAAUUGUUUAUUUUAUAAACAACAUAAAAUAAAUGUAUUAAAUCAGAUAAAUCAUUGACAGAUAUAUAAUUAUAACUAGUGCUAAAAUUUUACGGAAUUUUACAAUAAUAAAUGAUUUCGAUUAAUUUAUUUAUUGUUUGCGCUAUUAUGAUUUACAAUGCGAUAGAUUCAGGAUACCUUCGGGACCCGUCUUGAAACACGGACCAAGGAGUCUAACAUAUGUGCAAGUCAUUGGGUAUUUUUAAUAAAACCCAAUGGCAUAAUUAACUUAACUUUUAUAAUGGGAUUAAUUUAUAAUUUGUUAUGAAUUAUUUAUUCAAUCCCGGGGCGUUCUAUAUAGUUAUGUAUAAUAGUAUUUAUAUUAUUUAUACCUCUAACUAGAGCGUACCUUGAGC